CGUAGAGCAGCGCCAGCGGCACCGAGGCCGAGAGGCUCAUGGAGAUGGUGAGCGUCGCCGUCUGGAUGUAAACCUGCGCCGCCGCCGCCGGGCGGGCGUCUCGCACGAGGGUCUCGCACGAGGGGGGUCUCUUGCACGAGGGUCUCGCACGGGGGGGUCUCGCACGCGGGGGUGACUCGCACGAGGGUCUCAGCCUUGCACGAGGGUCUCGCAUGGGGGGGGUUUCACACGAGGGUCUCGCACGAGGGUCUCGCAUGAGGGUUACGGGCCUUGCACGAGGGUUUCACAUGGCCUCGCACGAGGGUCUCGCACAAGGGUCACGCACAAGGGUCUCAGCCUCGCACGAGGGUCUCACGGGGGUUUCACACGAGGGUCUCACACGGCCUCACACGAGGGUCACAGGCCUUGCACAAGGGUCUCGCACGAGGGUUUCGCAUGGCCUCGCACGGGGGUCUCAGCCUCGCACGAGGGUCUCGCACGAGGGUUAUGGGCCUUGCACGAGGGUUUCACAUGGCCUCGCACAAGGCCUUGCACGGGGGUCACAGGCCUCGCACGAGGGUCUCGCAUGGGGGUCUCACACGAGGGUUUCACACGAGGGUCUCGCACGAGGCCUCGCACGAGGGUUUCACAUGGCCUCGCACGAGGGUCUCGUACCAGGGUCUCACAUGGGGGUCUCAGCCUUGCACAAGGGUCUCGGUCUCGCACAAGCGUCUCACAUGAGGGUCUCACACAGCCUCGCACAAGGGUCACGGGCCUCGCACAAGGGGCCUCGCACGGGGGGGGGUCUCACACGAGGGUCUCGCACGAGGGUCUCGCACGAGGGUCUCGCACAGGGGUCUCACACGAGGGUUUCAUGCCUGGUCCUCACACGAGGGUCAAGGGCCUUGCACAGGGGCCUCGCACGGCCUCGCACGAGGGUCUCGCACGAGGGUCUCGCACGAGGGUCUCACCCAGAGGUUUCACACGAGGGUCUCGCACGAGGGUCACACGGGGCCUCGCACAAGGGUUUCACAUGGCUUCGCACGAGGGUCUCGCACGAGGGUCUCACACGAGGGAGUCACACGAGGGUCUCGCACGAGGGUCUCAC
rnacentral:lncRNA from 1 species